rnacentral:rRNA from 1 species
UACGGAGGAUCCAAGCGUUAUCCGGAAUCAUUGGGUUUAAAGGGUCCGCAGGCGGUCUUAUAAGUCAGUGGUGAAAGCCUACAGCUCAACUGUAGAACUGCCAUUGAUACUGUAAGACUUGAAUUCGAUCGAAGUGGGCGGAAUAUGACAUGUAGCGGUGAAAUGCUUAGAUAUGUCAUAGAACACCGAUAGCGAAGGCAGCUCACUAGGUCUGGAUUGACGCUCGAGGGACGAAAGCGUGGGAGCAAACAGG